GACGAACGCUGGCGGCGUGCUUAACACAUGCAAGUCGAACGGAAAGGCCCUUCGGGGUACUCGAGUGGCGAACGGGUGAGUAACACGUGGGUGAUCUGCCCUGCACUUCGGGAUAAGCCUGGGAAACUGGGUCUAAUACCGGAUAUGACCGUCCGUCUCAUGGUGGGUGGCGGACAGCUUUUGCGGUGUGGGAUGGGCCCGCGGCCUAUCAGCUUGUUGGUGGGGUAAUGGCCUACCAAGGCGUCGACGGGUAGCCGGCCUGAGAGGGUGUCCGGCCACACUGGGACUGAGAUACGGCCCAGACUCCUACGGGAGGCAGCAGUGGGGAAUAUUGCACAAUGGGCGCAAGCCUGAUGCAGCGACGCCGCGUGGGGGAUGACGGCCUUCGGGUUGUAAACCUCUUUCAGCACAGACGAAGCGCAAGUGACGGUAUGUGCAGAAGAAGCACCGGCCAACUACGUGCCAGCAGCCGCCGUAA
rnacentral:rRNA from 1 species